rnacentral:rRNA from 1 species
AACGAACGCUGGCGGCAUGCCUAACACAUGCAAGUCGAACGAGACCUUCGGGUCUAGUGGCGCACGGGUGCGUAACGCGUGGGAACCUGCCCUUAGGUUCGGAAUAACUCCCCGAAAGGGGUGCUAAUACCGGAUAAUGUCUUCGGACCAAAGAUUUAUCGCCUUUGGAUGGGCCCGCGUUGGAUUAGCUAGUUGGUAGGGUAAAAGCCUACCAAGGCGACGAUCCAUAGCUGGUCUGAGAGGAUGAUCAGCCACACUGGGACUGAGACACGGCCCAGACUCCUACGGGAGGAAGCAGUGGGGAAUAUUGGACAAUGGGCGAAAGCCUGAGCCAGCAAUGCCGCGUGAGUGAUGAAGGCCUUAGGGUUGUAAAGCUCUUUUACCCGGGAUGAUAAUGACAGUACCGGGAGAAUAAGCUCCGGCUAACUCCGUG